CAAAUCAGCCAUGUCACCCUGCAGCCCAAGACCGGUUACUCACUGAAGCUAAGCAGGGCUGAGCCUGGUCAGUACCUGGAUGGGAGACCACUAGGGAACACUAGGUUGCUGUUGGAA
rnacentral:rRNA from 1 species